GCAUCCAGGUUGAGGUAGUAGGUUGUAUGGUUUAGAGUUACACCCUGGGAGUUAACUGUACAACCUUCUAGCUUUCCUUGGAGC
ensembl:miRNA